rnacentral:rRNA from 1 species
AGAUUGAACGCUGGCGGCAUGCCUUACACGUGCAAGUCGAACGGCAGCACGGGAGCAAUCCUGGUGGCGAGUGGCGAACGGGUGAGUAAUAUAUCGGAACGUGCCCAGUAAUGGGGGGAUAGCCCGGCGAAAGCCGGAUUAAUACCGCAUACGACCUACGGGUGAAAGCGGGGGAUCGCAAGACCUCGCGUUAUUGGAGCGGCCGAUAUCAGAUUAGCUUGUUGGUGGGGUAAAAGCCUACCAAGGCGACGAUCUGUAGCUGGUCUGAGAGGACGACCAGCCACACUGGGACUGAGACACGGCCCAGACUCCUACGGGAGGCAGCAGUGGGGAAUUUGGACAAUGGGCGAAAGCCUGAUCCAGCCAUGCCGCGUGUGGGAAGAAGGCCUUCGGGUUGUAAACCACUUUUGUCAGGGAAGAAACGGCCCUUAACUAAUAACUAGGACUAAUGACGUACCUGAAGAAUAAGCACCGCUAACUACGUGCCAGCAGCCGC